UGAAUGUGGACAUGUUAACUACCGCUAAGAAAUUAAGUUCAGUAUAUAUGAAACAAAUUUCACUGGUGGUUUCUACACCUUCUUCUUCUCCCUUCAUUUCUUCAUCACCUUUUUUAUCAUUUGGUUCCUCAAUUUCUAUAUUCACUAUCCCCUUCACCAAUCCACGUGGCACUCAAUUCUUGAAUUUGAACUUUCAGUUCAGAACGAUGGCAUCUCACGUUGUUGGAUUUCCUCGUAUGGGGCCCAAAAGAGAGCUUAAGUUUGCGUUGGAAUCUUUUUGGGAUGGGAAGAGCAGUUCCGAGGAUUUGGAAAAGGUGGCAGCUGAUCUUAGGUCAUCCAUUUGGAAGCAGAUGGCUGAAGCUGGUAUUAAAUAUAUUCCGAGCAACACGUUCUCAUAUUAUGACCAGGUCUUGGACACAACUGCUAUGUUAGGUGCAGUUCCGCCAAGAUAUAGUUGGAACGGUGGUGAGAUUGGUUUUGAUGUAUACUUCCCGAUGGCUAGGGGAAACGACUCUGUACCUGCCAUGGAGAUGACAAAGUGGUUCGACACCAACUACCACUACAUUGUUCCUGAAUUGGGGCCAGAUGUUAAGUUCUGUUAUGCAUAUCACAAGGCAGUUAAUGAAUACAAGGAGGCUAAAUCGCUAGGUGUUGACACCGUCCCUGUUCUUGUCGGUCCAGUUUCCUUCCUCUUGUUAUCAAAAGCAGCAAAAGGUGUUGAAAAGUCGUUUCCUCUUCUCUCACUGAUUGACAAAAUUCUUCCUGUUUACAAGGAAGUCAUUGCUGAACUGAAGGCAGCUGGUGCAAGUUGGAUUCAGUUUGAUGAGCCUACUCUUGUUAAAGAUCUUGAUUUUCAUCAAUUAGGGGCAUUUUCUCACGCUUACUCAGAAUUAGAGUCAUCACUUUCUGGUUUAAACGUCCUCAUUGAGACAUACUUUGCGGAUGUUCCUGCUGAAGCUUUCAAAACAGUGACCGCUUUAAAAGGUGUUACUGCAUUGGGGUUUGAUCUUGUUCGUGGAUCGAAGACUCUUGAUUUGAUCAAGAGCGGUUUUCCUUCGGAGAAGUAUCUUUUCGCCGGAGUAGUUGAUGGGAGGAAUAUAUGGGCUAAUGAUCUGGCUUCUUCUCUCAGUACCUUGCAAGCUCUUGAGAACAUAGUCGGAAAAGACAAGCUUGUGGUCUCCACGUCCUGCUCACUUCUCCACACUGCAGUUGAUUUAGUGAAUGAGACUAAGUUGGAUGAAGAAAUUAAGUCAUGGCUUGCAUUUGCUGCACAAAAAUUGGUGGAAGUCAAUGCAUUGGCAAAGGCAUUAGCUGGCCAAAGAGACGAGGCAUUCUUCUCUGCUAAUGCUGCGGCUCGCACUUCCAGAAAAUCCUCUCCUAGAGUGACAAACGAGGCUGUUCAAAAGGCUGCUGCUUCUUGGAAGGGCUCUGAUCAUCGCCGAGCCACAAAUGUCAGUGCAAGGUUGGAAGCUCAACAGAAGAAGCUGAAUCUUCCCCUUCUUCCAACCACUACUAUUGGUUCUUUCCCUCAGACGUUAGAGCUAAGAAAAGUUCGCCGAGAAUACAAGGCUAACAAGAUCUCGGGGGAAGGAUAUGUCAAGUAUAUAACAGAGGAAAUCAGCAAAGUAGUCAAACUCCAGGAAGAUCUAGACAUUGAUGUUCUUGUGCAUGGAGAGCCGGAGAGAAACGAUAUGGUUGAGUAUUUUGGGGAGCAAUUAUCUGGCUUUGCUUUUACAGCCAAUGGAUGGGUUCAAUCUUAUGGAUCCCGCUGUGUUAAGCCGCCAAUUAUCUAUGGUGAUGUUAGUCGCCCAAAACCAAUGACUNCCGAAACCAAUGACCGUCUUUUGGUCUUCACUGGCACAGAGCAUGAGUAAGCGCCCGAUGAAGGGAAUGCUUACCGGUCCUGUUACUAUUUUAAACUGGUCUUUUGUUAGAGAUGACCAGCCGAGGUUUGAGACUUGCUAUCAAAUUGCUUUGGCUAUUAAGGAUGAGGUUGAAGAUCUUGAAAAGGCUGGCAUUAAUGUCAUUCAGAUUGAUGAAGCUGCUUUGAGAGAGGGUUUGCCUCUUAGAAAGUCCGAGGAAGCUUUCUACUUGAACUGGGCUGUACAUUCAUUCAGGAUAACUAACUGUGGUGUUCAAGACACUACACAGAUUCACACCCACAUGUGCUAUUCUAACUUCAAUGACAUCAUCCAUUCAAUUAUCGACAUGGAUGCUGACGUCAUCACGAUCGAGAACUCCAGGUCAGAUGAGAAGCUUCUUUCUAUUUUCUGCGAGGGAGUGAAGUAUGGUGCUGGCAUUGGCCCUGGAGUAUACGACAUCCAUUCGCCAAGGAUUCCAUCGGCAGAAGAAAUUGCUGAAAGAAUCAGCAAAAUGCUUGCAGUUCUUGAUACCAACAUCCUCUGGGUUAACCCUGAUUGUGGCCUCAAGACGCGCAAGUAUACGGAAGUUAAUCCUGCUCUCAGCAACAUGGUAGCCGCUGCUAAGCUUCUCCGCGCACACUUGGCCAGCACCAAGUGAGAUAGUCGAUCCAAUGAUGCGUCCUCUUUGAAUUUACAAGAGCAGUUUUACUUUUAUAUUCAAGAAUCAGGGAGAACACUCUUCUCCAGGAAAUGAUAUGUAGGCUUCUGAGUUCUGGCAAAUUGAUAUUUGCUAUAUCGGCUUCUUUAAUCUAUGUGCUUUGUAUGUUCUUCAUAACAUAUUAUCUUUCCUUUACUUCAUUCGUUAUAUUCUUGGAUAACCUAAUGUAGCAUGUAACACAUCUUAUUUUUCAAGUGAUUAGUAUCACCUUUUAUGGAUGAUUAGUUAUAUUAUUUUUUGGUGACUUAACGGUAAAAAUUCUUUUUAAUUGUCUGUAUAGAAGUUAAACUCAUAUAUAGGGGAACCUGGAAGCAAUUUGUUUUUUGUA